rnacentral:rRNA from 1 species
AGAGUUUGAUCCUGGCUCAGGAUGAACGGUGGCGGCGUGGAUAAGGCAUGCAAGUCGAACGCUUAGUCCGCAAGGACUAGGAGUGGCAAACGGGUUAGGAAUAUACGGGUAACAUACCCCAGAGAGAGGCAUAACUCUCCGAAAGGAGAGCUAAUUCCUCGUACGCUCAACAUCUGAAAUGAUGUUGAGGAAAGUCGCAAGACGCUCUAGGAGUGGCCCGUACUCUAUCAGCUAGUUGGUAAGGUAAUGGCUUACCAAGGCUACGACGGAUAGGGGGUGUGGGAGCACGACCCCCAACACUGGGACUGAGACACUGCCCAGACACCUACGGGUGGCUGCAGUCGAGAAUCUUCGGCAAUGCGCGAAAGCGUGACCGAGCGACGCCGCGUGAUGGUUUUGGGCCUUCGGGUCGUAAACAUCUUUCUAUGGGAAGAAUUUGACGGUACCAUAGAAUA